UCUUUAGUAUUCAUGUCGAAAUCGUAGAGAUGUGGCUGGGUUUCGUAGCCUAAUUGUUUGUACGCCAAAUUACGGUUUGGAAAAAUCCGAGGAAAAAAUGGCCUACAUUUGAUAUUUUCUUAAUCUAAGCAAUUAGUCAACGUGUCUGAUUUCGAGCACAGAGUCGGUACUAAAGUGGUUUGCAGCUCGCUCUAUGUUAUUUGUGGUAAUGUUGCGGUAAGUCUUUAAGAACACAACUAUGCAACAUAAAACCCUAUACGUGCCUUUUCUCAUCUCAAGUUGGUCACAUGCACAUUAUUCGCAGGAUAUCAUAAAGCACGGAGAACGACGAAACUACCAAUGAAAAAGAGCAUACCUAUUCUAAGAUGUUGAUUACAAAUACGUAGUUUUUUUUUUUAAUUCUUGAGUUUUCAUAGCGUAUUGUGUAGGUUAUAAUUGCUUUUAAUCAUUUUUAAUUGGUACGUGUAGAAACGCACAAAGUGGUGGGAUCUUGUAAAUAUGGUGGACGUCGAACUAGCACGCCACAUGCGACAUCGUGCACUUAAGCUGGGUUCACAAUCAAACAAUAUAAGCAAAUGCACAGAAGAUAAUGCACACGACUGUGCACGCCAAUCUGUGCGAAAUCGGUUCGCGAUUGUUUUCAUCUGCGUUAAUAUUAACCGAUGUAAUCUGUCGAUAGUGUUAGUAAACAAAUAUUUUAAGUACGACACGUCCAAGAAAGCUGACGAGCAGUCAUCGCAAAUUAGUUAUGAAUUUUCUCCAACUACAGCUUUUUGCUCCUUGUUUUAAAAAUUUUACCUCACUUCGGAAGGAGGGCAACUAACCACCCCCUCCCCUUGCCAUCACCCUAGCACCUUUAAAUACCAUUUUUCAAUGAUAAAUGAUAUUAGGUUAUGGGUUAUGCAAAAUUUGUAGAAGUAAUAUAUUUUUGUCGGUCCUGCGGCUGUUUCACGGUUCAGGAGGGAAGGGACGGCCGCCAUCUUAGAUGAACUUGCCGUUGAACUUUGACCUUGACCUUGACCCUGGCCGCCACUAUGGAUUACCUUGACCUCGAUCACGAUUUUUAAUUCCGAAAUUUUGUUUUAGAAAACUUUCCGCCAUAUUGAAUUAGGACAUCAUGUUCACCAUUUUGGUUUAGUCUGCUAGAGGUCGUCAUCUUGGAUUUCAUUUCAUGAUAGAAUGCUUUUUUUCAUGUUCGGAUUACCCCGCAUUUGGAAGUCUACAUCUGGUGUCAACGUUUUUAAAAAUGGAAUUUGCAAUAUCGUCAAUUUCGUAAGAGCCGACAGGUAACUGUAUCUCUUGAGCGAUCUCAUAAUUUUUCAGGAUGUAGAUUUUGCUAUUAUCCCUAUCGAUAUUCUGUAUGGCAUUAUAAGUCUGAAAAUCUGCGAGGCCAAUAUACCAUUAUCCUUACAGUUUUAGAGAUGAGAAUGAACUGUUCACAGCUCUACUAUUACCUGACAAGUAAGUGUUAUAGGAAUUACUAAUUAUUUAUCAGUACUGCGUAGGUAUAAUGUUUAUAUUUUAUAGUCAAAAAGCCAAGGCGCAAGUGACUGCAGUUUGAUUAGGUGACUUUUCGGUUUUGUAAUUGUAACACAGCAUAGUCACACCAAGAUACCGACGUAGUUCUGGAGGUAGUUUCAAAUUACCGAAACUAUCGUAGUACGCGACCUUUUUUUUUCAGACUUUACGUAUGCCACCCAGUGCGUGCCAAAACCUGCCGAUGUGUCUUAAGUUAAUAUUGGCGUGUUCGUGAGUCUUUGGCUUUGCUGGUAAAUUAUCUCUCUCAACAUAUGUUGUGCGGACGUAAGUAUAGUCCUGAGCUUUUUUUUUAACCCAUGGCAAUGGCAUUGUGUCUUCGUACUUAUGCCAGCUGUUUGUGCUCGUUCUUAUAAGUGACCCAGUUGUAAAGAGUGUUAUCACAAACUGGGAUUACCUGGGUGUAGAAGAGAAGAAAGAGAAAGCAGAAAAUUUUAUUUAUGAAAAGAUUUGAAUAAGUCGCUGACUUACUAGCGGAUGCACACAUUGCUGUCUUAAUUUGUUUUUCUUUUCUUUUAACUCGUGCGUUCCGAACAAGGAGAACAGGAGGGCAUGCUUAAUCUACGAAAUCUCUCUUGAUACUGCGACAGAAGUGACGCUCGUGUGCAAGGUCGUGUGCAAGCCGCGACUUUCUGUCGCUCAGUCGCUGCGACAGAAAGUCGCCCGUGUGUAAGUGCCCUUACUCGGACUUGGAAGCUGAAAUAACCAAUACACCUGCACCAUCAGUACUUGAAGUUUCCUGGGCCUUGUCUGAUCUAUCACCUACAACAACAGUAAUGCCAACUGGUAACACCAGAUAGCCUUCAUUGUUGAAGUACUCGUCGCCAUUUUUAAUCGAAUGACCUCACCGGAUUUCGGAACAGAGAACUGCAAGGUCCACGAUGUAAGUGCGUUUUAUUAUUAAAAUUAAAUUUUAAUAUAUUUUUUUAAAAAUGGUGGAAUACAAGAAUAGCGAAUGGUUCUAGUAACAAAUUUAACUGAAAAAAAUUAUGAAAUCCUACAGCAGAAGAAAAUUAGAUGGGGAUGUGAUGUCAUAAUCCAAUAUGGCGGAAAUGUCUCAAAAACAAUACAAUUAAAUCCAAGAUAUCAGAAUACAAGAUGGUGGAAAUUUAUAUAAUACAAAAUAGCUGAAUACAAAAUGGCGGUUAGGGAAAAGAUCAUCCAAGAUGGCGGCCUGGGUCAAGAUCAAGGUAAAAGGUCAGUAACAAGUUUAAGGUUAAUGUCAAGGUCAUCCGAGAUGGCGGCCGUGACCUCACAACAAUACAAGAUGGCGACCGUCUCCUCGCUCCUCAACCGUGAACCAGCCACAGAAAGUAUACCACUUGUAGUGAACAAUAUUUUAGGAACUUAAAAAUAGUAGGGUUUUUUUAUGUAUGCUUCAUUUAUGGUGGAUCACUUAUGUAUUUAGAUAAUUACGAUGACUUAAUUUUAAAGCAGCAUUUUUCUCAGAAAUGUAAUUACACGACAAUUUAUUGCCACUAUAUGACACGUAAAUAAUGAACAGUUACCAACACCCAUCAAAGUUACAAAAUGCUAUCCUACUCUAGUGUCUUUGGCUGUUGCGCUGUGCGUCCGCAGCAGAAAUUAAAUACAUAAAUUUCCCUCCAAUCGGCACGACCGUACUACGCGUAGUUGUAAUUCGGUAGUUUCGAAAUCAUGACGAUAAAAUCUUGUGCACAUAAACCAUGAUAGCCUAUAUAAGUUACUUUUAUUUCUUUCACUCGUGAACCCACCUUAACCUUGCCGUGCCGACGGCGUGAGAGGGAUUAUCGGCCUGGCACCGAGAGGUACAGUGCAGCGAGACAAGGCGCUAAACGAAAACAUAAACAUGAGCGUGAGCAUUAUGCAGCUGCGCAGUUCGGGAUCACAUUUGCUCAGAUUUUAACUUCAUCCUGGAGUUAAAAAUAGAUCUGAUUGACAGUGUAGGAGGUAAGCCAUCAUUUUGAUUUUUUUAUUUACUUAUUAUUAUUUUACAUAGUUUACAUUAUAAGCUAUGUUUUAUGGGAAAUAAUGAAACUCACAAAUGCUAUCUUACGUGUGGGCAUGGGCGUAGAUCCCGGGGGGGCCAGGGGGGCCCGGGCCCCCCCUGGAAUUAAUGGGCCCCCCCUUGGGGGGGGGGGCCCACUUCGUGAUUUUAAAGUUAAUGGUGUACACAUAAUAUAUAUAUCAGAUUAUUAUUUACAACGACGACAGACACUUUGACAUGCUUUACAUUCAUACUUUCGAGUUCCGUAGUUAUUUUCCCUUACCCCUUCUGCGAAAGCCAUGGUAUGGAGUUUUCCAGUUAGAACUUUGAAACCCUUAAUUCCUAGAAGCCGUUCAUUCCAAAGGACGAAGCUAGGGUAAGGUUCCGUUAGCAUUUCCUCCCCAUUGUUACCCACACUACCUUGUCCUCUGAAACGACAGUAUUAUAGGUUUCAGGUAGUCUGUUUUUAAAGUGGUUUUGCUCUCGUGUGCGCCAGUCUUCUACUUUCUUGGCAAACAUCAACAUGGAUAAGUUCGUGACGCGGAAGACACGGAAAACAGAAUCUGAUUCUCACCUGGACAGGACUGUGUCGACCCUUCAUCUGCGUGCUGCGGAAGGCGACGGAAACCCACCGCAAGCACACCCCGCGGCGUCUCCUGAGGUCAGAGGUCACCGUGCUCGGACAAAACACAGCCGUAGCCGUCCAGCUCCUGAUGUCCGCGCAGGCCCGUGUACUGCUGAAGAGGGCCUG